rnacentral:tRNA from 1 species
AGGAAAUUAGCUCAAUUGGUAGAGCAACCCUUUUACACAGGGUAGGUUAUGGGUUCGAAUCCUGUAUUUCCUA